AUGAAUGUCCUUUUUUUCUCUUGCUUUUGCAGAUAUAAGACCUUCAGCCUACUCCAUCCAAUGCAUCCAUCUGUCUUCAGAAGAGUUUAGAAUUCUGUUCUGGUGCUGUGCAAAGAGUAAGACCAAGUGCUAACAUCCAGAUUCGCAUGUGCUGGGAGAGAAAGUUCUUCAUGGAUCUCUUGUGCUCCUACACAUCUCACAGAUCAAUAUGGAGCCUCUGUAAAGAAUUUUGGAAAGUAUUUAUAGACCCCCAGAUGUAUAAAUGCAUUGAUUUUCAAAUAACAAGACACAAUGGAGAGAAGGUCAACCACAACACAGGUGCUUUACUCAUCUUGCUUUCGGCACUUCAUGCUUGCAUUUUAAUGCAUUCUAUAUACCUACAAGUGGCUGCCGGGCUGGUAACCAUUACUUGUUGCAAAACUGAGAAAUCUGAAGCAAGUUAAGGAGCAAAAGACAUGUAAAUGG